rnacentral:rRNA from 1 species
UACGUAGGGUGCGAGCGUUGUCCGGAUUUAUUGGGCGUAAAGAGCGUGUAGGCGGCCAGGUAGGUCCGUUGUGAAAACUCGAGGCUCAACCUCGAGACGUCGAUGGAAACCAUCUGGCUAGAGUCCGGAAGAGGAGAGUGGAAUUCCUGGUGUAGCGGUGAAAUGCGCAGAUAUCAGGAAGAACACCCGUGGCGAAGGCGGCUCUCUGGGACGGUACUGACGCUGAGACGCGAAAGCGUGGGGAGCGAACAGG